rnacentral:rRNA from 1 species
CGGAUACAGGGAGUGGCAAACGGCCGAGUAACGCGUAGGAACCUACCCCAAACUCGAGUAUAGCCCCGCGAAAGCGGGGGUAAUCCUCGAUAGCCCGUGAAGUAUUUUACUUCACGGUAAAGCUUUUGCGGUUUGGGAUGGGCCUGCGUCCUAUCAGGUAGUUGGUGAGGUAAAUGCUCACCAAGCCUAUGACGGGUAGCUGGUCUGAGAGGAUGGUCAGCCAGACUGGGACUGCGACACGGCCCAGACUCCUACGGGAGGCAGCAACUAGGAAUUGUGCGCAAUGGACGAAAGUCUGACGCCGCGACAUCGCGUGGAGGAUGAAGGUCUUCGGAUUGUAAACUCCUUUUCUUACCGAACAAGUUCUGAGUGUAGGUAAGGAAUAAGUGCCUGCUAACCACGUGCCAGAAGCAUCGGUAAUACGUGGGGCACGAGCGUGAUCCGGAUUUACUGGGCGUAAAGAGAAGCGUAGGCGGCUCGAUAAGUUUGGUGUUAAAUCUUCCGGCUCAACCGGAAACAAGCACCGAAAACUAUCGAGAUUGAGUCGAGUAGGGAAGAGGGGAAUUCCUGGUGGAGCGGUUAAAUGCGUAGAUAUCAGGAGGAAUACCAAGGGCGAAGGCACCUCUUUGGACUCGUACUGACGCUGAGGCUCGAAAGCGUGGGUAGCAAAACGGAUUAGAUACCCGUGUAGUCCACGCCGUAAACGAUCCCUGUUAGAUGU